UGAGCGGGGUAAAGCCAGAG
rnacentral:snRNA from 1 species